rnacentral:rRNA from 1 species
GAUGAACGCUGGCGGCGUGCCUAAUACAUGCAAGUCGAGCGAACAGACGAGGAGCUUGCUCCUCUGACGUUAGCGGCGGACGGGUGAGUAACACGUGGAUAACCUACCUAUAAGACUGGGAUAACUUCGGGAAACCGGAGCUAAUACCGGAUAAUAUAUUGAACCGCAUGGUUCAAUAGUGAAAGACGGUUUUGCUGUCACUUAUAGAUGGAUCCGCGCCGCAUUAGCUAGUUGGUAAGGUAACGGCUUACCAAGGCGACGAUGCGUAGCCGACCUGAGAGGGUGAUAGGCGACACUGGAACUGAGACACGGUCCAGACUCCUACGGGAGGCAGCAGUAGGGAAUCUUCCGCAAUGGGCGAAGGCCUGACGGAGCAACGCCGCGUGAGUGAUGAAGGUCUUCGGAUCGUAAAACUCUGUUAUUAGGGAAGAACAAAUGUGUAAGUAACUAUGCACGUCUUGACGGUACCUAAUCAGAAAGCCACGGCUAACUACGUG